GGGUUUCCUGUGGUUUGUAACCGCUGACCAGCGGUGGGGUGGGGAGUUAAGAUGGCGGACAUUAAAGUAUACUUGUAGUUUGUUCACAAUCUGUUUGCAUCCUCCGUGUGUUCGCCCAUCGUGCCUUUUACAUGUACCUAAGUAUAAAUGCUGCCUACAGAUCUAAUACAUAACACGAAAAGUGACCUAAGUAAGCAUGCAAAUUAUACAGGUAUACGAGUACCUAAGCAUAAAUGCUGCCUACAGAUCUAAUACAAAGACAAUAAACGCACAUCACAUACAUAAAAUAACAGCUAAAGGGUUAGAUAGGCAGUGAUAAUGUGUAAGAAAAACCUGAAAUCCUUUGAUCUUGGGCAAUAGUUCAUCGAAACGUUCUCAGUGACCCUUUCAAAUAAAGCGCCACAGUAGAGUCACAUGA